rnacentral:lncRNA from 1 species
GAGAGGGAAUGUAGUAUUGACAUGUAAGCAAAAUUAAAACAAUCACUACUAGCUUAAGGAAUAGACUUUUGGAAAUCUCAUAGAAAAGGAUGCAUUCUUAAAAGUACUUUUAAUUUUGGUCGAAAUUUGAAUAUUUAAUGCAAAACAAAAGAAACAGAAAAUAUACGUAAGAAUAAAUUUAAAUCUUAUGUUACUAGAAAUAUUGGUUUGUGAAUCUGAAGUGUUGUGGAAUAUAGAUUUAUUUGUGGUUUAGUGUUUGAAUAUUUUUCUAGUAAAAAUGGCAGAUAUAGUGUUUUUAGAACCUCACAUGUUUAUAAAAGAUUAAAAUGGCAGAUAUAGUAAUUGUUUAAUAUUUUUCGCAGGUAUUUUUUUUUGUUUUUCAACUAGUUAUAAAAACCUGAAAUUAUUUGAAUAACAUAAGUGAGAUACAAAAAAUAUAUAUGAAUAGUAAGUAAUAGAUGAAGAAAAAUAUGUUUUGCUAACUUGUGCACAUUUAUUUUUCUUUAUUUUAUUUACAUAUGAAAUAAACAAAUUUAAACACACAAUUG